AUGUAGACACAUUAUACUGUUGCUCAAUUGCUUUACUUCUUGCGCAAUACCUACUUUUUGCAUUGAUAAUAUUGGGUGUCUUUAAUGAAAUUGUUAUUUGAUGUCAUGAGCGGAAUACCUACUUUUUGCAUUGAUAAUGUUGGGUGCCUUUAAUGAAAUUGUUAUUUAAUAUGUCAUGAAUCUUAGAUUUUGAACUUUAUUAUGAAUCUCUCAAUCUCUUGUAUCCUUUUUCAUUUCAAUGAUAUGAUCCUUUGUAGUUGCUUUCUUAUCUAGAGUUUCAUCUAAAAACAAAAGUGAUAGCUGC
rnacentral:lncRNA from 1 species